UACGGGGGGAGCAAGCGUUGUUCGGAUUUACUGGGCGUAAAGGGCGCGUAGGCGGCCUGUGCAAGUCAGUUGUGAAAUCUCCGAGCUUAACUCGGAACGGUCAACUGAUACUGCUCGGCUAGAGUGCGGAAGGGGCAACUGGAAUUCUUGGUGUAGCGGUGAAAUGCGUAGAUAUCAAGAGGAACACCGAUGGCGAAGGCAGGUCUCUGGGCAUUAACUGACGCUGAGGAGCGAAAGCAUGGGGAGCGAACAGG
rnacentral:rRNA from 1 species